CACCUCCAGCAUCCCUAGUAUUGGAGGCACUGCCUGCCCAGUGACUAAACGUUAAACGGCCGCGGUAUUCUGACCGUGCAAAGGUAGCAUAAUCAUUUGUUCUCUAAAUAAGGACUUGUAUGAAUGGCCACACGAGGGUUUUACUGUCUCUUACUUCCAAUCAGUGAAAUUGACCUCCCCGUGAAGAGGCGGGGAUAAAUCAACAAGACGAGAAGACCCUAUGGAGCUUUAACUAGGUAACUCAAGGAAAAUAAAUUCAACCACCAAGGGAUAACAACACUCCUUAUGAGUUAACAGUUUCGGUUGGGGUGACCUCGGAGAACAGAAAAUCCUCCGAGCGAUUUUAAAGACUAGACUAACAAGUCAAACCAAACCAUCGCUUAUUGAUCCAAAAACUUGAUCAACGGAACAAGUUACCCUAGGGAUAACAGCGCAAUCCUAUUCAAGAGUCCAUAUCGACAAUAGGGUUUACGACCUCGAUGUUGGAUCAGGACAUCCCGAUGGUGCAACCGCUAUCAAAGGUUCGUUUGUUCAACGAUUAAAGUCCU
rnacentral:rRNA from 1 species